rnacentral:lncRNA from 1 species
AGGAAGUUGAGAGUCAACAAAUACACGGGGAUAUCGAGAUUGUUCGAAAGUAGAAAUAUCAAUCUUGCAGCCUGCAUAUUUUCGAAGAACUUUACAGGUUUCAUCAUUUGUAUCGUAAGAGUUCAUUAAAAUGAAAGGCACGGACACAUCGUACCGUCUGUUAAGAUAUUCGAUUUGGCGAAUGCUAAGGUCGAGGAAACUUUGAUUGUCACGAACCUCAAUCAUGGCUUUAGGAUAAUUCACACCCAACGCAUUUCCCAUACCUCCAUUUAAUUUAACAACUGCAAGCCGAUUUAAGUACUUUCCAGCAUUUUUGCAUAACGGUAAAUCACCGUAAUCUAUCAUGUCUUCGGGUCCCAGAGGCCGGAUAGAAUCCCAAUCACAUUCAUAACCUUUAACUGUGUGUAAUAAAUAUCUUCUAUACAAAGCAAAGAAGUUGUCCAUUUGUAUGCCAAACGUUUUUUUAUCCGAAACUCUGGAAUUCAGUACAAGUUUAUCUAAUUCGUUUUUCAUCGUACUGGCAGAUAUGCUAACUGCAACACUGUCAAAGUCCAAAGUGGACUGUGAUUUAAAAUGAAUUCGACGAUGCAACAUUUUGGAGUUUUGUCGAUUCUCCCACUUUUUGGGGUGAGAGUGGUAGGAUGAAAUGAACCACUAGUUUUAACGAUAUACACUCCGAUGUUCCAACGUGAUCUUUUUCACUUGAUAUCCUCCUUGUUCAGAUACUGGCGGAUUCUUUUCUGCUAUGGAUUAGAAAGAUAAUUACGACAAGUUAUUUUGUGUCAAAAAUGUCCAAGUUUCUUUUAUUGUGUAUAUCUAUCACUAAGUCUUAUUACAGUCAGUUCUCGACAAAAAGACUCAAAACUAUUAGAUACAAUUUGUUUUUUAUUCUAUAAGUGAAUUUAAUAAAACUUCUCUGUAUUAAUUUGCAUACAGUGACAAAUCAUUCUGUAUGGUUUCGAAAUAAGGGCAAUAUACCUUAAAUAACAAACUGAGACACUUUAUAUCUAUGUUUUACGUCUUUUGUUUUAUUAAGUAGAUUGGUAAAGAUGCAACUUAUUCAACUUAAAUUCAAAACAAAGCAGAUAAACAGAAAAUCGUUUGCUUGGGCUGAAAUAAACAAGUCCAAACUAUGGUACUUAAGAAAUUACUCGCAACGUUUAAGUUACUAGAAGAUAUAGAGCUUAUGAUUACAAUGCUAUGUUUGCAUAUCAAUACUUCUAUUGUUAUAAGAAGUAGACUUUGCUUAAAUGAUUCUGCUGGAAUUAUCGACAACCAUCAGAGUCAAAAAAAUUCCUCAUACUGCACAACUUUUUGACAUGCAUUUUUAUUAUCAGAUUAAAACGUUCGCAAUUGAAAAUUUGAUAAAAAGCUGUUUGUUCGCCUAAAUUUCAGUAUAGCUAGUUCAAUGACUAGCUAGGUAAUCAAUUCAAGUAUAGUGAAAUGUCUAUCACAUAGAGUUAUAAAGAAAAUCAGCUAUUUCUAAAAAACACUAACAGAGGAUUUGAAUUAUUGUGGUCAUUUAUUACUUCAUUAAUUGUUUCGAGUAAGCCCUUUCUAUGUGUUUCACUUGUAAUUACCUAUUGUUCAACAUUCUUUUAGGUCUAUUGUUUAUAGUUAAUAAAAAUGAAUCUACGUUCUAUUGCGCUAUAUUUAUUUAACACAGGCCGACGUAGUUCAUUAUUAAAAUGCAGACUUUCUUAUAUUAGCUUAACGAUUGCUAAUCACAUUUUGUCACACUGCUAUGCAGUUGUUAUAGGAUAGUAUUUAGUUUUUUAUAACUCGCUUUGCUUAUGAUGGAAUAAACUCCUUAGAGUCUU